UCUGCCCCCGCGCCCCGAGGCGGCUCGGCGGGCCCGCCGCGCCCCCCCCGCCCCCUCCCGCGCCGCCCGUGGGGAUGCGGCGGAGGGGCCGUGGCGCACCGGUCGGCCUGCGGUACGGUCUGUCACAGGCUCCCGCUGGACGAAACGCCCCCCCCACAGCUGAACAAACGCGUACUGCAGCGGCCGCUGCGUGACAAAGGUGCUGCCCUGCCCCGAGUACCGAGGAACGUCAACCGGAGCCUACCCAGGCGCCAGUGCCCUGGCCCUGGCCGGGGAAAGAAAUGUGGAUCUGCCCCAGCCCCUCUCCUCCGCUGGGGCUGGCUGGAGCCUCCUGCAUCUCCCCCAGCGCGAGAAGUGCGGCUGUCCCCGGCUGCAGCUCACUCACCUUGCCCGGUGCCCGUGUGAUCAUCUUCGGCCACGGGGCAGCUGCCGGCCGCCCCCCCGGGGGAGCGGGGCAGGCUGAGCCCCACCUGCAGCAUGUGCCCUGGCUCCGGUGUGCCCCGCUGCCAGGUCCCCUCCGUCCCCAUCACCUGCCCUGACUUUUAAGGCAAGAGCUGAGUUGGAGGAAAAGUACCCUCCAACAGCCGAGAGAUGCUCCCGGCAACAUCGCACCGAUCCGACAUUGCCACCUGGAGUACUCACAGUUCAGGCUGCACUUAAAAGUGGGCAUUUUUAUAGGCAUCUUCAAAUUUUUAAAGAUUUUUUUUUCCUUAAAAAAUCUGAUUUUUUCUCCUCUGGUAACAGCAACUGUGGAUCCUUCCUGCCUCACCUCCCCGCCUGUGGGGUCUGCCUGCACCUGCAGCGCACCCGAGCAUCUGCCAGCACCGGUGGUCUCGGGCAUCUGCCCCCAAACAGGAGCGGUCCCUCUGCAAACCGUCUCCUUUCUGGAUGAAGCACCUCCUCUGUGAUGUGCCAGUGUCUGACGGGAGCGGCAUGGCUCUCCUCGUGUCUCUCUCCCUUUGCUGCCUGGGAGCCAGAGGAAGGGGGGCGAGGGGCUGUGUCAGCAAAGGGACCCCAGGGUGCUGUGCUGGGCGGGCGGCGAGGGGCUGUUGCGCCGCGGGAGGCUCCUACUCUGCGCCCCGCGGGCAGCUCUGCUCCGCACGCCGCAUCCGAAGGGGCAGGUGAUGGCCCCCAGCUCUGCUCUGGGGCUCCUCAUGCUGCACCCCGCUCUGCUUCCCAGCGCCGAGGGGUUGUUUAUUCUCUCUCCAACUCAAACCAAUUGCCCAGGCUCUUACAGCAGCAGGUCCUGCUGCCUUUCCCCAGCACCUUGCUGGCUGCCUUCUCCUCGUUUGCUUUUUCUAGGGCAGCAGAUGCCUCUCCCUGCCAGACUGAAGCAGCUCUAAAUCCUCCCGCAGGCCCCCCAUCCGCCUGCCUGCUCCCCAGCAGGCGCUCCGCUCCACGCCGAGAGAGGAGAUGGAAGGGAAUUAGGGACGGCAAGAAAUGGAUCAUCGCUUCCUGCACUUUUAAUGGCAAAAAAAUUAAAUAUGUAGAGGUCGUGCUGGCUCCGGAUGAGCAGCACAGCGGAAGGCCAUAAAUGUUUUAUGCUAACGGCCUGUGAGAGGAGCCCGCCCGAUUCGGAUGUGCGAAGAGCCGUCGCCCCGGGGAUGGAGCCCGCACCGGGGGCUCCCCAAGCCACCCUACGCUGCUUCGCUUCAUGCCCAGGACACAUCCGGCACGUGGGUCUUCCUCGGCCGUGGCCUCACGGUCCUGAGCGCCCAUCGCGGAGUGUCGGUGCCAGCCCGUCUGCGGCAGCCCCGUCCCGUGGCAAGAGGGGUCUGCGUCCCUCUCCCCGCCCCGGCACAUACCCUAGCCCUGCCCAGCCGCCCCCAGAGAGCAAACGUGACAUGAGGGGGUGCCUGGGGGUGCUCAGCACCUCCUGAACCAGCCCCGGGGGCGGCAUCGCUCCGGCGGCGCUUGCUCCCCAUCGCACCUCUGGCUGCUCUUGCUCAGCACUCAAAAGCUGUCCCAGCCCAGGCAAAUGGGCCUCGGUGCCGGUCCGAGCACCCGCGGGGAGCACAGCGGGCGCUGCAGCCGCCUGCAGAUACGCUGACGAGGACGCGCUCGGUACCGGGGCACGCCGCAGCAGCGCCGUAGCUCCCCCACGUUAUGAGGGCGAUAAAACCUCGCUAUCAGUGCCUUGCUGCGGUUUUUCGGGCAUCUGUAACCGAUGUUCGUAGGUGCGUUGAUUUACAUCAUCAGUCGCACCCAAAAGAAAGAGGAGAGGCCAAAUCCCGGCGGAUCAGGUGUGGGGAAGGCUCGUUGGGCUUGGACGGAGGCUGCUGCACAAGCGAGGGCCUGCGCCCGCCGCCCGGUUGCUGCAGAGCCCUGUGCAGCCAAAAUAUUGACAGCGUCAACACCGACCAGCAUCGCAGAGGCUUCCCGGCAGCCCGGCCCUGCCUGCUGCUGCUGGCGGGGGGACAGGGACGAGGGGACAGGGACAUCGGCGUGGGCAGGGGCAGGCAGUGAAUGUCAUUUGGGAAUGUGCAGGGACAGGGGAUGGGGCUGAGGAUUUGGAGGAGGGAAACGGUGGCUGCCUUAGGGAAGGGAAAGGUGGGAGGCAGGGAGAAAAGGCCACGGGGAGCCCAUGGGGCUGGAGCAGCCGUGCCCGGGGGAACAGCUGGUGGGAAAGGGAGAGGGUAAGGCACUGCUCGGGCUUGGGUUC